ACCUUUGACGGGUGUGACCCUCGU
rnacentral:siRNA from 1 species